rnacentral:rRNA from 1 species
UACGUAGGGUGCGAGCGUUGUCCGGAAUUAUUGGGCGUAAAGGGCUCGUAGGCGGUCUGUCACGUCAGGAGUGAAAAACUCGGGGCUCAACCCCGAGCCUGCUUCUGAUACGGGCAGACUGGAGGUAUGCAGGGGAGAACGGAAUUCCUGGUGUAGCGGUGAAAUGCGCAGAUAUCAGGAGGAACACCGGUGGCGAAGGCGGUUCUCUGGGCAUUACCUGACGCUGAGGAGCGAAAGUGUGGGGAGCGAACAGG